rnacentral:ncRNA from 1 species
UAAGGUUUUAUUAUAGCCUCCGAGUUCGGUAAAUUAUAAUUUCACAUACGAAUUUUAGUUUUAAUAUUACACAUGUAGUGAAUAAAUUUAAUGAUUAAGGAGAUUUAGAAUUAGAUAUUAAUUAAAGUAUAGACUAAUCUUGUGCCAGCAGUUGCGGUUAGACAUGAUAUACUUCUGAACUAGGUUCGGGUAAUAAUAAUCUUAUUAAUAAGUCAAUGAUAGUUGAUCAUAUAAGGUGAAAUUUUAUGGUUGAUUAAUUUUAUUUUAAAAAGAAAAGUUAUUAGAUUUUUAGUAUAAACUAGGAUUAGAUACCCUAUUAUUAAAAGUGUAAAUUAAGAUUCCUGAGAAGUAUUAGAUGUUCUUGAAAUUUAAAGAAUUUGGCGGUGUUUUAGUCUGUUCAGAGGAACCUGUCCUGUAAUUGAUAAUCCACGAUUAAUUGAACUUGUUCUUUAAGUUUGUAUAUCGUCGUUAUUUGAAUAUCUUUAAAGGGUUAAAUAUUCAAUAUUUAAAAUUUUAAGUCAAAUCAGAUCAAGGUGCAGCUUACGGGCAAGGAGAGAUGGGUUACAAUGAAUAUAUUUAUGUGGUUUGAAAGGUGAAAUUUUUUCAAUAAAUAGGAUUUGAAAGUAAAACUAAUAAUUUAAUUGGUUUGACUUAAGCUCUAAAAUAUGCACAUAUCGCCCGUCGCUCCCACCAUAAGGUGGGAUAAGUCGUAACAUAGUAGGCGUACCGGAAGGUGUGCCUGGAAAGG